AAGAACUGAUAAGUAACAUUAAAUUAAGAGAGCACAAAGACAAUUCAGAGUGUAAUGUGCUGGAAUCUACUGUCCAAGCAGGCUCAUAUGAUUCUACUGGUGAUAAGUACUUGAAGAGAAACUUCCCAUUGCCAGCAAGAGACAUUGUGUGUGCUUUUAACUACAGCUGCUGUUGUCUUCAUAAACGAGCAGAUCUGCUUUUGUAUUUCAAACAUGUUCUUGAUGCUUUGUCCAAAAAGGGGGGUAUAUUUGUGAUGGAUUUAUAUGGUGGAACAUCGUCAGAGUGCAAGCUAAGGCUCCAGAGAAGAUUUCCAAAUUUCACGUAUAUUUGGGAGCAAGCUGAAUUUGACAUAAUUGAGCGCAAAACAAGGAUUAGCCUCCACUUUCAUCUUCAGAAGCAGCAGAAAAAACUUCGUCAUGCAUUUUCAUACAGCUGGAGGCUGUGGUCACUGCCAGAGAUCAAGGACUGCUUGGAAGAAGCAGGAUUUCAUUCUGUCCAUUUUUGGCUUCGGCAGAUGCCAGACAGUGAAGAAAACAGAACUACAGAGGGAUUUGGUGUUGGUCGAGACAUAAAGUAUGAGGAGGUCAGAAAUUUCGAACAAGAAGAUUCUUGGAAUGCAUAUAUCAUAGCUGUUGCAAAGU
rnacentral:misc_RNA from 1 species